AGAGUUUGAUCCUGGCUCAGGAUGAACGCUAGCGACAGGCUUAACACAUGCAAGUCGAGGGGCAGCGAGGGCGUAGCAAUACGCCUGUCGGCGACCGGCGCACUGGUGAGUAACACGUAUGCGACCUGCCCCCUACAGGGGUAUAACCCGUAGAAAUGCGGACUAAUCCCCCAUAGUCCUGGGUGCUGCAUGGCAUUCAGGGGAAAGGGUUUCCGGUAGGGGAUGGGCAUGCGGCGCAUUAGCUAGUUGGCGGGGCAACGGCCCACCAAGGCGACGAUGCGUAGGGGUUCUGAGAGGAAGGUCCCCCACACUGGUACUGAGACACGGACCAGACUCCUACGGGAGGCAGCAGUGAGGAAUAUUGGUCAAUGGGCGCAGGCCUGAACCAGCCAAGUCGCGUGAGGGAGGACGGUCCUACGGAUUGUAAACCUCUUUUGUCGGGGAGUAACGUGCGGGACGGGUCCCGUAUUGAGAGUACCCGAAGAAAAAGCAUCGGCUAACUCCGUGCCAGCAGCCGCGGUAAUACGGAGGAUGCGAGCGUUAUCCGGAUUUAUUGGGUUUAAAGGGUGCGCAGGCGGCGCGCCAAGUCAGCGGUCAAAGUUCCGGGCUCAACCCGGUGUCGCCGUUGAAACUGGCGUGCUCGAGUGCGUGCGAGGAAGGCGGAAUGCGUUGUGUAGCGGUGAAAUGCAUAGAUAUGACGCAGAACUCCGAUUGCGAAGGCAGCUUUCCAGCGCGCUACUGACGCUGAGGCACGAAAGCGUGGGGAUCGAACAGGAUUAGAUACCCUGGUAGUCCACGCAGUAAACGAUGAUGGCUAACUGUCGGGCCUACGGGUUCGGCGGCCAAGCGAAAGCGAUAAGCCAUCCACCUGGGGAGUACGACCGCAAGGUUGAAACUCAAAGGAAUUGACGGGGGCC
rnacentral:rRNA from 1 species